ensembl:lncRNA
CGGCUUUCUGCGCUCACUUGCCCGGACCAGAAGUAGUAGGCCGACCAGCACGAAUCCAAAGUUAUGACCUCUUGGUUCCAAUCAGAAACCUGAACCUAGAAGCUUCCCACCAUCUGCUGGAGCUGUGUUUGGAACGAGAACCAUCCCUCAUCUUUGACCUCCUGUCCAUCCCUCAUCCCACAUCUGACCCACAACAGCCUGGUCCCAGUGACCCACAGCAGCCAGCCUGGUGCAUUUGCACCAAAUGCAAGGAGAUGCCUACCGAUAUAGAGUGGAAACGCUGCGGACAACUCCUGGACUCCUGUGUCUCCAUGAUGCCUCACAUUAACGCACACAUAAUGCAGGGUGGGGUUUUGCGGCUGGCCAGGAGGAUCGGGAAUGAUGUCCAUGCUGUGGCUGACCGUCCAGACCCAGGGGAGGACAACAAACAAUUUAGGUUUGCCGCCUAUAGGCAGUUUGUUGUUUGGCAAUACGGAGCACUGGCUCGGGGACACAGGGUCGUCAUUCCUAGUUGUUGGGUCUGGAGGAUACCGGACAAGUACCCAGACCCACUUGGACAAUAUGUUGGCUUCCUCACAAGGAGACUUUAAGCAUCAUUAAAAAAAAGUGUUU